rnacentral:rRNA from 1 species
ACUCCUACGGGAGGCAGCAGUGGGGAAUAUUGCACAAUGGGGGAAACCCUGAUGCAGCCAUGCCGCGUGUGUGAAGAAGGCCUUCGGGUUGUAAAGCACUUUCAGUAGGGAGGAAGGUAGUGUAGUUAACACCUGCACUAUUUGACGUUACCUACAGAAGAAGCACCGGCUAACUCCGUGCCAGCAGCCGCGGUAAUACGGAGGGUGCGAGCGUUAAUCGGAAUUACUGGGCGUAAAGCGCAUGCAGGCGGCCUGUUAAGUCAGAUGUGAAAGCCCGGGGCUCAACCUCGGAAUAGCAUUUGAAACUGGCAGACUAGAGUACUGUAGAGGGGGGUAGAAUUUCAGGUGUAGCGGUGAAAUGCGUAGAGAUCUGAAGGAAUACCGGUGGCGAAGGCGGCCCCCUGGACAGAUACUGACACUCAGAUGCGAAAGCGUGGGGAGCAAACAGGAUUAGAUACCCUGGUAGAUAGCG